rnacentral:lncRNA from 1 species
AAGAAAAAAAAUUCUUCGAUGGUACAAGAAAAGCACUCACCAAAUGAGAAGCACUCAGUUGAAAAAAAAAAGAGAAGAGAAAAUCAAAGAAAAAAGAACUGAGCAAUACAAGCUGAAAAAGAAAAGAAUUGGAAAUGAGAUGUAGAACAAACACAGUGAAAAGGAUAAUGACAUGGCUCUGAACCUAAACCACUUGUUUUUCCUUUUGUUUGUAUUUACCCCACCGUAA